UACGUAGGGUGCAAGCGUUAAUCGGAAUUACUGGGCGUAAAGCGCGCGUAGGCGGUUUGAUAAGUCGAUUGUGAAAUCCCCGGGCUCAACCUGGGAAUUGCAGUCGAGACUGUCAGACUAGAGUGUGGGAGAGGGUGGUGGAAUUCCCGGUGUAGCGGUGAAAUGCGUAGAUAUCGGGAGGAACAUCAGUGGCGAAGGCGACCGCCUGGCCCAACACUGACGCUGAGGUGCGAAAGCGUGGGUAGCAAACAGG
rnacentral:rRNA from 1 species